UUUCCAGAGAUGGAUUGGUGCCUUCGGGAACUGUGAGACAGGUGCUGCAUGGCUGUCGUCAGCUCGUGUUGUGAAAUGUUGGGUUAAGUCCCGCAACGAGCGCAACCCUUAUCCUUUGUUGCCAGCGAUUAGGUCGGGAACUCAAAGGAGACUGCCAGUGAUAAACUGGAGGAAGGUGGGGAUGACGUCAAGUCAUCAUGGCCCUUACGACCAGGGCUACACACGUGCUACAAUGGCGCAUACAAAGAGAAGCGACCUCGCGAGAGCAAGCGGACCUCAUAAAGUGCGUCGUAGUCCGGAUUGGAGUCUGCAACUCGACUCCAUGAAGUCGGAAUCGCUAGUAAUCGUGGAUCAGAAUGCCACGGUGAAUACGUUCCCGGGCCUUGUACACACCGCCCGUCACACCAUGGGAGUGGGUUGCAAAAGAAGUAGGUAGCUUAACCUUCGGGAGGGCGCUUACCACUUUGUGAUUCAUGACUGGGGUGAAGUCGUAACAAGGUAACCGUAGGGGAACCUGC
rnacentral:rRNA from 5 species